rnacentral:rRNA from 1 species
CGCGUAGGCGGUCCGGUAAGUCGGUUGUGAAAGUCGGGGGCUCAACCCUCGGAGGCCGACCGAUACUGUCGGGCUAGAGUCCGGAAGAGGCGAGUGGAAUUCCUGGUGUAGCGGUGAAAUGCGCAGAUAUCAGGAGGAACACCAAUGGCGAAGGCAGCUCGCUGGGACGGUACUGACGCUGAGGCGCGAAAGCGUGGGGAGCAAACAGGAUUAGAUACCCUGGUAGUCCACGCCGUAAACGAUGGACACUAGGUGUGGGAGGUGUCGACUCCUCCCGUGCCGAAGCUAACGCAUUAAGUGUCCCGCCUGGGGAGUACGGCCGCAAGGCUAAA